rnacentral:lncRNA from 1 species
CUCUUUCUCCCUCUCCCUCUCUCUCCCUCUCCCUCUCCCUCCCCCCCUCUCUCUGGGGACCCUUUCUAAUCUGCCCCCUGUGCACUCCUCUUUCCCCCAGGUUGAGGUCACUCCUGGUGUUUUUUUCCUGGUGCGCUUCCCCUGUAAGGAGGGAGGGCCGAAGGGCUCUAGGGGCCACCUCUUUGCUGGCUACUGUGAGAAUCCUGCUUUGGGGUUCUCCUGAGGCUCCAGCACGGAACCCAGAGGAGGCCCUGGAAGGUGGGCAGGCAACUCAGGAGCCCCAGGGAUCUGCAGGGAGCAGCGAGGGAGUCAGCCACCCAGGACCUCCUCUGGGUCUUCCUGACACCAAAGGGGUGAGUGGAAGGCACCUGUGCGCCCCUUUGCCGGUUGUCGGUGGUGUGUGGGUCCAACGAGAUGCUGCCCGACUCUGGGAUGAGCCAGGCACUUGGACGGUGGGGAUCCUCCCUCAGUCCCCUGGGGUGCUUCUGAGGUCAUGCUCGGGUGCCCUGCCAUCAAACCUCCCCAUGAAAGUUGUGUUGUUACUUUUCUGAUCUGGGCCUCAGGAUCUUUAGCUGUAAAACCAGAUCCAUGAGACCCGGACGAGGACAUCUCAAAGCCUGACAGAGACCCAGCUAUUGCCAUCGUUUGUGGGGGACACAGACGUAGAGAAGUAUAGGGGAAAUCACUCAUUUAGCUAAGAAAUGUCUAUUAAGCUUCUGUUACGUGCCCAGAGCUGGCUGGGGAGACGUCAGAGAAGCCCGCUGUUUCCUCCUAGAACCCAGGGUCUGGGAGGAAGAGAUGACUGUCCGACAGUUUGCCAACCGUAUGCCCCCCAUCAAGGAAAGAGCCUCGCUGUUCAGGCUUCACUGGUAGAGAUUACAGUUUAAGUUCAGAGGAAGAGCAGCAGGGCCAGACCCAGGCCGCCUGCGGAGUGGACUCCUGCACUCACACUUGGGACUUCAUGGAGGGCAGAACCACGUCCGUCCUUCUCUCCUCUUAGGUCAGUCUCAGUACUCGCCACAGAAUUGGCCCUCGAUUAAUGUGUGUCAAAUGGACUGAACGCACAACUUUCCUUACACAGAGGUGAAAUUUAUAUAAGAAGGCCCAUCACACCAGAGUCCCACUCGCCUCACGGUGGUGCUGUGCCAUCUUCGCUUCUUUCUUGCCCCAGGAUCCCACACCCAUCAGCCCCUCCCCGCCCCAGGGCCUGCCCUCAGCCCCUGCAGACCUGCCUGCUCAGACCCCUCUCCACCACAGAACUGCAGCCUGUGGCCUUGGUGACUCCUGUCUCUCCCUUAGCAUAAUGGCUGAGAAUUCCAUCCACACCUCACAUGUCCCAAGACCUUUCUCUUUUGUGGUGAAUGGGUUACUUUUAAUGACAGCAUAACAGUUAAUUAUGUGCCAACCGUUAAAUUAUGCACAUUUAAAAGUGUUUUGGCUGACACAUUUAUUGACUACUUCUUGUGCAUGUGUGCAAAUUAUUUUAUAGCCUUCUGGGGCCAGUUUCCAUUAAACAUACAUGGUAUUCAUUUAACUAAUAAGCAGCCAACUUGAUCGACUUUGUUUUUAACUGACAAAACUGUAUAAAUUUGCGAUGGACGACAUGUUUUGAAAUGCAUAUACUUUGCGGAAUGACCAAAUCAUUACCUCACAUACCUACUAUCUAUUCAUGGUAGGAAUACUUAAAAAUCGACUCUCUGGAAUUUUCAAGUGUACAAAACUGCUGUCAGCUCUAGUCACCAUAUUGUAUAAUACAUCUCCUGAGCUGACUUUUCCUGUGCAACUGAAUUUGUAUCCUUUAAGCCAACAUCUCCCCAGCUGCCCUACUCCUAGUGUGACCCACCUCCAGCCCCUGAUACCUGCCGUUCC